GACGUAGGGGGCGAGCGUUGUCCGGAUUUAUUGGGCGUAAAGCGCGCGUAGGCGGCCCGUUAAGUCGGAUGUGAAAACCCGUGGCUCAACCACGGGCCUGCAUCCGAUACUGGCGGGCUCGAGGCAGGCAGGGGAGAUCGGGAAUUCCUGGUGUAGCGGUGAAAUGCGCAGAUAUCAGGAGGAACACCGGUGGCGAAGGCGGAUCUCUGGGCCUGUCCUGACGCUCAGGCGCGAAAGCUAGGGGAGCAAACAGG
rnacentral:rRNA from 1 species